rnacentral:rRNA from 1 species
CCUACGGGAGGCAGCAGUGAGGAAUAUUGGUCAAUGGACGAGAGUCUGAACCAGCCAAGUAGCGUGAAGGAUGACUGCCCUAUGGGUUGUAAACUUCUUUUAUAUGGGAAUAAAAUGGUCCACGUGUGGGAUUUUGUAUGUACCAUAUGAAUAAGGAUCGGCUAAAUCCGUGCCAGCAGCCGCGGUAAUACGGAGGAUCCGGGCGUUAUCCGGAUUUAUUGGGUUUAAAGGGAGCGUAGGUGGGUUGUUAAGUCAGUUGUGAAAGUUUGCGGCUCAACCGUAAAAUUGCAGUUGAAACUGGCAGUCUUGAGUACAGUAGAGGUGGGCGGAAUUCGUGGUGUAGCGGUGAAAUGCUUAGAUAUCACGAAGAACCCCGAUUGCGAAGGCAGCUUACUGGACUGCAACUGACACUGAGGCUCGAAAGUGUGGGUAUCAAACAGGAUUAGAUACCCCAGUAGUC